GUCCACGCCCUAAACGAUGUCUACUAGUUGUCGGGUCUUAAUUGACUUGGUAACGCAGCUAACGCGUGAAGUAGACCGCCUGGGGAGUACGGUCGCAAGAUUAAAACUCAAAGGAAUUGACGGGGACCCGCACAAGCGGUGGAUGAUGUGGAUUAAUUCGAUGCAACGCGAAAACCUUACCUACCCUUGACAUGGAAGGAAUCCCGGAGAGAUUUGGGAGUGCUCGAAAGAGAACCUUUACACAGGUGCUGCAUGGCUGUCGU
rnacentral:rRNA from 1 species